rnacentral:lncRNA from 1 species
GUAAGUAGUAACAACAGAUUCAUUUGAUCUCACGAAUGCUGCAAUUUAUCAUCUUCAUUCUUUCCAAAUUUGAUUUCCGCGAAAUUCUUUCCUUCUACCUUUUAUCCUCCCAUUUCAAAAUCUCUAUAGAAGUUGUUACAUUAUCCUAUCAUUGUCCAUAUGAAGUUUACAGUGUAGGAAUGCCGAAGAGAGAAAAUUGCUGUUUCCCCGCAGGGAUAUUACUACCCAGACGUCCUAAUGACGUCUUCCCUCCCUGAUUUUUUCUGUCGUUUUGACGAUGACGGCUUUCGCAGAGAACGUUCGUCCAGAGGAAUGCUGUUGGGACAAGAUCUAUAAGAAUGACAAAGGAAAAAGAUGUUCGAGAUUGUUCCCUAAAAACAGCAGACAAUUGGAAGUUUGAUAUUAGAUAUACAGCUUAUCCCAUUAAAACAUUUACAAACAUGCUACCUUUUUAUUUUAUUUUAUUUUUUACAUUAAGCCAAUUUGAUGACCGGGAUCUUCAUCCUUUCAAGCCAUUCCGACGGGCUAUUGUUAUGGUUUACUAUUUCACUAUGGGGUCGGUUACGUCAGAAGUCAAAUUCAGUCAAAAUGCAGCCGCACCAAUUUCGCGUACAGAUAAAAAGGACACAAUAGUUAGCGUGUGACAGGAAAUGCUACUUCCCGAACUCGUGUCACGUGAUAUUAUUAUCAUCCUACAGGAAACUCCAGCUGUUUCCGCACAACCAAAUUAAACUCUGAGUGUAUUAUGAAAUAUGCCUAGUAGUUAUCAGUUUUACAUUAAAAAAAAAAAAACUUCCGUAAUACGUACAUACCUAAAGAUAUCAUCAUCGCAAUUUUACAAAAUUUGCGAAAACCCUGUUAGUAAUUCUUUUAUCUUAAAAUUUCAGAAAAAAAUGCAAUCUUCUAUAUCGUACCUGGGAAAGAAUUAUAUGAUAUAUACUG